AGAUUGAACGCUGGCGGCAGGCCUAACACAUGCAAGUCGAGCGGCAGCGGAAAGUAGCUUGCUACUUUGCCGGCGAGCGGCGGACGGGUGAGUAAUGUCUGGGAAACUGCCUGAUGGAGGGGGAUAACUACUGGAAACGGUAGCUAAUACCGCAUGACCUCGAAAGAGCAAAGUGGGGGAUCUUCGGACCUCACGCCAUCGGAUGUGCCCAGAUGGGAUUAGCUAGUAGGUGAGGUAAUGGCUCACCUAGGCGACGAUCCCUAGCUGGUCUGAGAGGAUGACCAGCCACACUGGAACUGAGACACGGUCCAGACUCCUACGGGAGGCAGCAGUGGGGAAUAUUGCACAAUGGGCGCAAGCCUGAUGCAGCCAUGCCGCGUGUGUGAAGAAGGCCUUAGGGUUGUAAAGCACUUUCAGCGAGGAGGAAGGCAUCACACUUAAUACGUGUGGUGAUUGACGUUACUCGCAGAAGAAGCACCGGCUAACUCCGUGCCAG
rnacentral:rRNA from 1 species